rnacentral:rRNA from 1 species
ACUCCUACGGGAGGCAGCAGUAGGGAAUCUUCCACAAUGGGCGCAAGCCUGAUGGAGCAACACCGCGUGAGUGAAGAAGGGUUUCGGCUCGUAAAGCUCUGUUGUUAAAGAAGAACACGUAUGAGAGUAACUGUUCAUACGUUGACGGUAUUUAACCAGAAAGUCACGGCUAACUACGUGCCAGCAGCCGCGGUAAUACGUAGGUGGCAAGCGUUAUCCGGAUUAUUGGGCGUAAAGAGAGUGCAGGCGGUUUUCUAAGUCUGAUGUGAAAGCCUUCGGCUUAGCCGGAGAAGUGCAUCGGAAGCUGGAUAACUUGAGUGCAGAAGAGGGUAUGGAACUCCAUGUGUAGCGGUGGAAUGCGUAGAUAGUAUGGAAGAACACCGAGUGGCG